UAAUAAGUGUUUUAUGGCACUUUUUAAAUCCAUAUCCACCUUGUGUGCAAUGUCAGUCGAUCUUCUUCAUGGAGAUCGACCAAACAUCAACCUUUAUUUUUUAACUCUUUGUCUGAAAAAUAUAAUGAAUAAACAAUUCAAAAUA
rnacentral:misc_RNA from 1 species